UCCCUGAUGAUCCAGUGGUUAGAACUUGGUGCUUUCACUGCCAUGGCCUAGGUUCAAUCCCUGGUCAGGGAA